rnacentral:rRNA from 1 species
UACGUAGGUGGCAAGCGUUGUCCGGAUUUACUGGGCGUAAAGGGCGUGCAGGCGGUUCGUUAAGUUCAGGGUGAAAGCUCCCGGCUCAACUGGGAGAGGUCUCUGGGUACUGGCGGACUUGAGGGAGGUAGAGGAGAGUGGAAUUCCCGGUGUAGUGGUGAUAUGCGUAGAUAUCGGGAGGAACACCAGUGGCGAAGGCGGCUCUCUGGGCCUUUCCUGACGCUGAGACGCGAAAGCGUGGGGAGCGAACCGG